rnacentral:rRNA from 1 species
AGAGUUUGAUCCUGGCUCAGGAUGAACGCUAGCGGCAGGCCUAAUACAUGCAAGUCGAACGGUAAGUGUAGUAGCAAUAUUAUACGAGAGUGACGUACGGGUGCGUAACACGUAUGCAACCUACCCUUUACAGGAGGAUAGCUCGGGGAAACUCGAAUUAACCCUCCAUAACAUAUUGGUGUGGCAUCACAUUAAUAUUAAAACUCCGGUGGUAAAGGAUGGGCAUGCGUCUGAUUAGUUAGUUGGUGCGGGUAACGGCCCACCAAGACGAUGAUCAGUAGGGGAACUGAGAGGUUGAUCCCCCACACUGGCACUGAGAUACGGGCCAGACUCCUACGGGAGGCAGCAGUAGGGAAUAUUGGUCAAUGGAUGGAAGUCUGAACCAGCCAUGCCGCGUGCAGGAAGAAGGCCUUCUGGGUUGUAAACUGCUUUUGCCAGGGGAUAAAAAGACCGUGCGCGGUUAAUUGAAGGUACCUGGUGAAUAAGCCACGGCUAACUACGUGCCAGCAGCCGCGGUAAUACGUAGGUGGCAAGCGUUGUCCGGAUUUAUUGGGUUUAAAGGGUGCGUAGGCGGCCCCGUAAGUCAGUGGUGAAAUAUCUCAGCUUAACUGAGAGGGUGCCAUUGAUACUGCGGGGCUUGAGUACAGAUGAGGUAGGCGGAAUUGACGGUGUAGCGGUGAAAUGCAUAGAUAUCGUCAAGAACACCGAUAGCGAAGGCAGCUUACUAAGCUGUAACUGACGCUGAGGCACGAAAGUGUGGGGAUCAAACAGGAUUAGAUACCCUGGUAGUCC